rnacentral:lncRNA from 1 species
GUGGAAGGGCUUGUUUCUCCCCGUCGCAUGGUAUUCUUCUAGAGUGGAGUGUGGCGUCAUCUAUUGACCAAAAACAAACCAGUCCAGCCCAGAUCUCCGAGGUGAAAAGCGUUUUUUUACCAUUAAUUUUAAUGAAUUUGUCAGAUUUGCCCGGGUUCUCGGGUUUAUAGUACUGGUGAAUUAACGCAAGCUAGGUCCGUUUUUAUUAUACUCAGAAACGAUCCAGUUAUAGAUAGCCCCGAUAGAUGGACGGGAACAGAUCCGGUGGAGGCCAGGCCAAACUUUAGCCAUCUCCGCCGUUAUCCGGUGGCUAACGGGUGUUCUCCAGACUAGGCGAAUCGGAUGACAAAGGAAAACGUUCGGGCCAGGUAGAGGACUCGGGUCUGGUAACUCCCGAAAAAUUUUUUCGAGGUGCUGAGACCGGUCCGACCCCCCUCGAUCGGGAUGGUUACACCCGUGGUUAGACCCUUAAGCCUGGUACUCACAUGCGGAAAGCUUCAACACAAAUUGCCGUUCCGCUGUCUUUCCGCCUUCAUUUUAAAGCGUGUACCCACAAGCGAAAAAGUUUGUCGACGGAAUUCUAUUGGCCGCCUUCUAUCGACGGUAGGCCGAAAUAAGAAUAUAAACACACAACAUGGUGCCGGAAAAUGUUGUGACUUUGUCAUUUGAAUUU